rnacentral:rRNA from 1 species
GACGAACGCUGGCGGCGUGCCUAAUACAUGCAAGUCGAACGCAGUGGGGACGGGUGCGUAACACGUGGUUAACCUCCCAUCAGAGGGGAUAACACUUGGAAACAGGUGCUAAACCGAUACGGAUGGAGGGACCCGCGGUGCAUUAGCUAGUUGGUGAGGUAACGGCUCACCAAGGCCACGAUGCAUAGCCGACCGGAGAGGGUGAGCGGCCACACUGGGACUGAGCCACGGCCAAGACUCCUACGAGAGGCAGCAGUAGGGAAUCUUGGGCAAUGGACGAAAGUCUGACCGAGCAACGCCGCGUGAGUGAAGAAGGUUUUCGGAUCGUAAAACUCUGUUGUUGGAGAAGCGGUAUCUAACCAGAAAGCCACGGCUAACUACGUGCCAGCAGCCGCGGUAAUUC